UACGUAGGCAGCAAGCGUUGUUCGGAGUUACUGGGCGUAAAGGGUGUGUAGGCGGCCUGUUAAGUUCCGUGUGAAAUCUCCCGGCUCAACCGGGAGGGUGCGCGGAAAACUGGCGGGCUAGAGUGCGGGAUGGGAGAGUAGAAUUCCUGGUGUAGCGGUGAAAUGCGCAGAUAUCAGGAGGAACACCGGUGGCGAAGGCGGAUCUCUGGGCCUUACCUGACGCUCAGGUGCGAAAGCUAGGGGAGCGAACAGG
rnacentral:rRNA from 1 species